GAUGAACGCUGGCGGCGUGCCUAACACAUGCAAGUCGAACGUGAAGGUCGAGUUAAGUGCUUCGGUACAAGACAUGGCUGGAAAGUGGCGAACGGGUGAGUAACACGUAGGUAACCUGCCUCGAAGCGGGGGAUAACCAUUGGAAACGGUGGCUAAUACCGCAUGGUUCUAUGGAUGUGGGAGCAUCUAUGGAUAAAGCUCAGGCGCUUCGGGAGGGGCCUGCGACCGAUUAGCUAGUUGGUGGGGUAAGAGCUCACCAAGGCGGAGAUCGGUAGCUGGUCUGAGAGGACGAUCAGCCACACGGGAACUGAGACACGGUCCCGACUCCUACGGGGGGCAGCAGUGAGGAAUAUUGCACAAUGGGGGCAACCCUGAUGCAGCAACGUCGCGUGGAGGAUGAAGGUCUUUGGAUUGUAAACUCCUUUUCUCGGGGAAGAGAGCGGACGGUACUCGAGGAAUAAGUCACGGCUAACUACGUG
rnacentral:rRNA from 1 species